UGCAAAGAUUGUAUGAUGUCAUGCUCAAGAUCAUCGAACGUGUUGAGAAUGAUAGCAGAAGCGCGUUUGAGCUGGUCAGUCUCAUGGAGAGAAAAAUUAAGCAUGAUGUCGUCACGACUAGUUGCACGGAUGAAGCUAGGCAAGGAAGCCACAAGCACUUGCGGUCCAUAAAUUAACACACGUGACACCGAGCUCCUCCGCAGCGUCAAGAGUGAAACUCAUAAUACCGUCUGAUACAAUACAACUCACGGGAGGAACAUCAUCUCUGGUGUUGAUUCGCUCAAGAAGCUCCUUAAAUGGAGCUAGAAAGUUCUUCAUGGUGGCCUCGCAGAUGGAAGGGACGUCCUGCAUCCUAUCCCCAUCAGUCUCUAGUAGACCAUCAGGGAUAGACUCGUACCGGAACGUGGGAAUCCGGUCCAGCGCGUUGGGCCCACGCGAACGGAGUAGACGGUUGUGAUUGUAGACGUUGUUGACGAAGGUGACGUGAAAGCCUUUGUUGUGGAGCAGUUUAGCUAGUUUCAGCAUCGGGUCGAUAUGGCCUUGAGCAGGGAAAGGCACGCAAACAACAUGUGGUUUUUGUCCGCUAGAAACGGUAUAAGAAGCCAUUUUUCUUUCUCGUGCGUCAAAAAAGAAGGAACAAUAUGGAUGUGAUUGAUUUGGGAUUUAAAGGACUUUACGGUGAGAUUAUGUAAUUGAAUUCUUGUACGUAGUAACGUUGAUUGUUGACAUGUGCGUCACGAGCGAAAAUUUCUAGAUGCCGUAA